GAUGAACGCUGGCGGCGUGCCUAAGACAUGCAAGUCGAACGGUAACGGGCCUUCGGGUGCCGACGAGUGGCGAACGGGUGAGUAAUGCAUCGGAACGUACCUUUCAGUGGGGGAUAACGUAGCGAAAGUUACGCUAAUACCGCGUAUUCUGUGAGCAGGAAAGCAGGGGAUCGCAAGACCUUGCGCUGAUUGAGCGGCCGAUGUCAGAUUAGCUAGUUGGUGAGGUAAAGGCUCACCAAGGCGACGAUCUGUAGCCGGCCUGAGAGGGCGACCGGCCACACUGGGACUGAGACACGGCCCAGACUCCUACGGGAGGCAGCAGUGGGGAAUAUUGCACAAUGGGCGAAAGCCUGAUGCAGCGACGCCGCGUGAGGGAUGAAGGCCUCGGUGUAACGUCUUACUAGUAGGGUAAGGAAGGUUAGCG
rnacentral:rRNA from 1 species